CACGUGACCGGACAACCGCGCGCCGGGUCCCGGGUCCCGGCGUCCGCCCGGUGGCCCCCUCCGGCUGCGGGCGCGCUCGGCCUGCUUCCCGCCCCCCCCCCCCACCUUCUCCUAACGCUCCGCGCGGGCCACUCGGAGGUGGUGCGGCGGCGACGGCGACUCCGGUCCGGGCUCCAUGACCUGUAACCUCCCGGGGACGCUGACGAGCAGCCGCGCUCAGCUCAAGAAUCACCCCCUCCAAGUUGUCUUCCUGGAUUUACUCGGCACCAAAGUUAGCCUUCUCUUUCCUGGGGCCCGGCAGCCUGGAAAGAGAAACGGUGGUGGUGGAUGAUCGCACCGAUCCCGAUUUGGAAGUUGUGUGGCAGGUGACUUAGAAGGAUAAGUGGAGCCCUGGGAUGGAGGCACCGACAUGUCUUCUGAACAAAGGGAGAGCGAAUAUGGCGGCGGCGACGGGAGCCACGUGCUGUAUUCCAACAGCCUGUGAAAAACUGAAUCCUUCAAAGAACGAUGUGAGUGAACUUGGAAGCAGAUGCUCUCGGUAGAGCCUUCAGAUGAGACUGCAACCCUGGCUGACACCUGAUUGCAGCGCUCGCGAGAGACCUUGAAGCGGAAGCCGCAGAGAGUGAGAGUGCAAGCAGGGGAGAGGGAGAGACAGAGAGAGAGAGAAUCCCAAGCAGGUUCCACACUCAGCAUGGAGCCCAACAUGGGGCUCGCUCUUACAACCCUGCUAUCACGACUUGAGCGGAAAUCGAGUUGGAUGCUCAACCGACUGAGCCACCCAGGCGUCUCUGAAUUGUACACUUUAAACAGGUGAAUUGCAUGGUAUGUGAAUUAUAUCUCAACAAAGUGGUUAAAAAAACAAGCCGACGCAUUCACAGGGCUCGUCUUGCUUGUUUUCUCUCUGGGAUCACUGUCCUGUGUUGCCCAAUACCUAGCAUCUUGAAGACUGUUGCUUCACAUUGUCUUUUUUGUUGUUGUUGUUUCAUGCAGGAGGGUAAAUACAAAUCCUAUUACUCAUCGUAACCAGAAGUUAGCAGUCUCCCUAUUUUUUUUAAUUGGGGAAACCGAGGCCCAACGCAGCUAACUGGCUUGCCAAAGUUCACGUUAGUGAGUGGCAGAGUCAGGACUAGCCGAGACUUCCGGAUAUCUAAUCUGAAGUCGGGACAGGAUUGCUUCCUGUCUGUCCAGCUUCUGGGGCAACUUGAUGGCAGACGGUUAAUUAAGCAAUCAUAGACAAUGUAAAUAUCUGUGACCUGAGGAUCCCCGAAAGGCCCGGAUCGGUUCUCUGCCUCCCCCUCAACCAGCAAGCAUUGAUUGCACACCUACGUGCGAGGCUUGUUUGGGAGAACUCCCUGGGGACAGAGAAGCAGGUGCCAUCAUCCCUGGCAACAAGGGGCUCACCAUCUGUUUGGGGAAAAAGGCUCCACUCUCUGUGGAACAUCUCUGUGGCUUGGGCCAUUUACCUAUUAUAUAAUAAAAUGGCUCACUUCACUUGCAGCCAAGACGAUCAGGAGGGGUUCAUGGUGUGCGGGGGCUCUUCUCAGGAAAGGUUUCCCAGAGGAGGAAGAAUUUGGGUCUCAAAACACAGGCAGCACCCCUGACUGGGUGGGGCACUGAAGGCAGGACAUUGUCUCCGCAGGGCGUGUGUGAAAAUGCACACAAGGCCGCAGAGGUUCCUUGGCUGUAAGAAAAGCCUGAGUCUUGCAGUGGGAAGGCACAGGGGGGAUAUUGUACCGGCCAGAGGGCAGACCUGGGGGGUUUGAUGGAAGUCCUGUGAUGAGGAAAUGACUAAUAAGGAAGCCCACUGAGAAAUCAAAUGCGCCCAGGGAGACAGGUUUUUAUAGGAAGACAAGUAUCUUCCGAGAUCACGAAAAACUGGGCUGUCCACUUGAAGUUACAGGACAAAAUAUUCCAGACCCUCAUCAUUCAAUCACUCACUGAGCUUGUAUUGAACACCUACUAUGUACUGGGAAUUGUGCUGGGGGCUGUGGGUUCACAGGUGCCUGAGACUCGUGGCUUGCCCUAGUUCAUGGUCUAGAGAGGAAGACACUUGGAUGAUGACAGAAGGCGUAUUAGGUGGUGGGUUUUCCAGAAAGUGUAAAUUCACCUUCUUCUUUCAUUUUUUUCUCUCUCUUCCGGUUUCAUAACUUAGAGAAUUGUACUCCCCCCCCCCAACCCCACCAAAAAAAAGAAGAAGAAAAAAAACCCCUAGCAAUCACAAGUGUCUGAGAAAAAUACAAACAUACCCACGUAUCUUGGUUGACGGUUAAGUCUGAUUACACUCCACUCAGCAACUGCAGAGCAGAUACAUACUCCCUGGUGAGCAAACAGUAGAGUUUCGGGGAAAAUUUGUAAUAACUAUGAGCAUAUUAUAGAGUCAGAAACCCAACUUACCAAACAGAUUCAUGAGAGAGUGGUUAUUUCACAGUUUUAAGGUAUCCUUUAUUUUAUUUUAUAUUUUAUUCUAUUCUAUUCUAUUCUAUUCUAUUCUAUUCUAUUCUAUUCUAUUCUAUUUUUUAAGUAGGCUACAUACCCAAGGCAGAGCCCAACAUGGGGCUUGAACUAACGACCCUGAGAUCAAGACCUGAACUGAGAUCGAGAGUCAGAUGCUUAACUGACUGAGCCACCCAGGCCCCCUGAAGGUGUACUUAUUUUAGAAGAGAUUCACAAAGUUACUGAAUUUGAGUGAGCAUGCGUUUGUUCUAUUCCCCAGGGCUUUCAGAUAAGGCGUUUAUAGAAAGUGACUUGUCCCAUCCCAUAGCUAAUUAGUGGCCGAGCCUAGGAAUCCAGCUCAUUCUUUCUGAGCCCCAGACUCUUCACUUGAACUUCCCUGGGAUAGAAGGUUUGCUUCCAGACUACUCAUUAAACACUAAGUACAACGAAGGGAAAAGAAUGUCUUAAAGCUCAAGGGUGCGAAGCCGUAAGUACAGUGACAACCAACUAAAAACUCAGAUAAAGUACCUCUGAAAUGAUCACGUGUUGCAGAGUGGUCGAUGGGAAAACAAGACUUGAAUUCCUUAAAAGGGAUUUACACGUAAAGAUCUAGGAACUCCUCAAAUAGCAUAUUCUGUCUCUGGGACCUUGUGCAAAUCAUUGAGCCUUCCUCGUUCUCUGUUACUCAUCGUGUGUGUGUGUGUGUGUGUGUGUGUGUGUGUAAUAUUUAUUUUAUUUUUGAGAGAGCACGAGAGCGUGUGCACAAGUGGGGAAGGGGCAGAGAGGGGAAGACAGGAUCCCAAGCGGGCUGGCAGCAGAGAGCCCCAUGUGGGGCUCAAACUCACUGACGCUCCAGCCGUGAUAAACUGGUAGCGGUUCCCUGAUGAGCCGGCCUCACUCACCUCCAGGCUUUGCAGUAGCUUUUUCCUCUGUCUAGAAUGCGCAGCCCCUUCCAGCGCCCCUUUCCUCCCCUCAGCCCUGUAAUCCUGCAGAAUUUUGUGUCCAUAUUACCCACCUGAGAAGCCUUCCACGGGUCAGAACUCUCCUCCUCUGUGCCCCCCGUCAGCGCGCUGUGCGUCUGUCUUAGCACUCAUCACCUGAUUAAAACUGCCUUUUCCCAUGUUGGUCUCUCCCACUCAGUUCUGUAGGGCUGUCUUACUCUUCAUCCUGUUUCCAGAGGAGCCUUUCGAAUGAAUGAUGAAUGUUUAAAUGCUUUGUAAAUGGCAACUUGCAACACGAGUGUUAAGUAUUACGUAA